rnacentral:rRNA from 1 species
AACGAACGCUGGCGGCAUGCCUAACACAUGCAAGUCGAACGAGCCCUUCGGGUCUAGUGGCGCACGGGUGCGUAACGCGUGGGAACCUGCCCUUAGGUUCGGCAUCACUCACCGAUGGGGGUGCUAAUACCGGAUAAUGUCUUCGGCCCAAAGCUUUAUCGCCUUUGUAUGGGCCCGCGUUGGAUUAGCUAGUUGGUAUGGUAAAGGCCUACCAAGGCGACGAUGCGUAGCUGAUCUGAGAGGAUGAUCAGCCACACUGGGACUGAGACACGGCCCAGACGCCUACGGGAGGCAGCAGUAGGGAAUCUUCCGCAAUGGACGAAAGUCUGACGGAGAAACGCCGCGUGAGUGAUGAAGGUUUUCGGAUCGUAAAACUCUGUUGUCAGGGAAGAACAAGUACCGGAGUAACUGCCGGUACCUUGACGGUACCUGACCAGAAAGCCACGGCUAACUACGUG